UACCAGCUCUCCGAGUGGUAGGGAUGAUUAUUGGGCUUAAAGCGUCCGUAGCCGGCUUAGCAAGUCUCCUGUUAAAUUCAGCGACCUAAUCGUCGAGCCGCGGGAAAUACUACUAGGCUAGGAGGCGGGAGAGGUCGACGGUACUUCUGGGGUAGGGGUGAAAUCCUAUAAUCCCGGGAGGACCACCAGUGGCGAAGGCUGUCGACUAGAACGCGCUCGACGGUGGGGGACGAAAGCUGGGGGAGCGAACCGGAUUAGAUACCCGGGUAGUCCCAGCUGUAAACGAUGCGGGCUAGGUGUUGGGGUGGCUACGUGCCACUUCAGUGCCGCAGGGAAGCCAUUAAGCCCGCCGCCCGGGGAGUACGGCCGCAAGGCUGGAACUUAAAGGAAUUGGCGGGGGAGCACCACAAGGGGUGAAGCUUGCGGUUU
rnacentral:rRNA from 1 species